GUUGUAUGGUUAAGUGACUAAGCGUACACGGUGGAUGCCUGGGCAGUCAGAGGCGAUGAAGGACGUACUAACUUGCGAUAAGCGCAGAUAAGGCAGUAAGAGCCGUUUGAGUCUGCGAUUUCCGAAUGGGGAAACCCAACUGCAUAAGCAGUUACUGUUAACUGAAUACAUAGGUUAACAGAGCAAACCGGGGGAACUGAAACAUCUAAGUACCCCGAGGAGAAGAAAUCAACCGAGAUUCCGGUAGUAGCGGCGAGCGAACCUGGAUUAGCCCUUAAGCACUCGGUGAAGUAGGUGAACAAGCUGGAAAGCUUGGCGAUACAGGGUGAUAGCCCCGUAACCGACGCUUCAUCGAGCGUGAAAUCGAGUAGGGCGGGACACGUGAUAUCCUGUCUGAAUAUGGGGGGACCAUCCUCCAAGGCUAAAUACUCCUGACUGACCGAUAGUGAACCAGUACCGUGAGGGAAAGGCGAAAAGAACCCCUGUGAGGGGAGUGAAAUAGAACCUGAAACCGUGUACGUACAAGCAGUAGGAGCACCUUCGUGGUGUGACUGCGUACCUUUUGUAUAAUGGGUCAGCGACUUAUAUUCAGUGGCAAGGUUAACCGUAUAGGGGAGCCGUAGCGAAAGCGAGUCUUAACUGGGCGCUCAGUCUCUGGAUAUAGACCCGAAACCGGGUGAUCUAGCCAUGGGCAGGUUGAAGGUUGAGUAACAUCAACUGGAGGACCGAACCGACUAAUGUUGAAAAAUUAGCGGAUGACUUGUGGCUAGGGGUGAAAGGCCAAUCAAACUCGGAGAUAGCUGGUUCUCCCCGAAAGCUAUUUAGGUAGCGCCUCGGACGAAUACUACUGGGGGUAGAGCACUGUUAAGGCUAGGGGGUCAUCCCGACUUACCAACCCUUUGCAAACUCCGAAUACCAGUAAGUACUAUCCGGGAGACACACGGCGGGUGCUAACGUCCGUCGUGGAGAGGGAAACAACCCAGACCGCCAGCUAAGGUCCCAAAGUAUUGCUAAGUGGGAAACGAUGUGGGAAGGCUCAGACAGCUAGGAUGUUGGCUUAGAAGCAGCCAUCAUUUAAAGAAAGCGUAAUAGCUCACUAGUCGAGUCGGCCUGCGCGGAAGAUGUAACGGGGCUAAGCAAUACACCGAAGCUGCGGCAAUAUCUUUUAGAUAUUGGGUAGGGGAGCG
rnacentral:rRNA from 1 species